GCCCCAGCUUGCUGGGGUACUCGAGUGGCGAACGGGUGAGUAACACGUGGGUGAUCUGCCCUGCACUUCGGGAUAAGCCUGGGAAACUGGGUCUAAUACCGGAUAGGACCCUCCUUUGGUGUGGGGGGUGGAAAGAUUUUUCGGUGUGGGAUGAGCCCGCGGCCUAUCAGCUUGUUGGUGGGGUAAUGGCCUACCAAGACGUCGACGGGUAGCCGGCCUGAGAGGGUGGACGGCCACAUUGGGACUGAGAUACGGCCCAGACUCCUACGGGAGGCAGCAGUGGGGAAUAUUGCACAAUGGGCGGAAGCCUGAUGCAGCGACGCCGCGUGGGGGAUGACGGCCUUCGGGUUGUAAACCUCUUUCGACAGGGACGAAGCCUUUUAGGUGACGGUACCUGUAUAAGAAGCACCGGCUAACUACGUGCCAGCAGCCGCGGUAAUACGUAGGGUGCGAGCGUUGUCCGGAAUUACUGGGCGUAAAGAGCUCGUAGGUGGUUUGUCGCGUCGUCUGUGAAAUUCCGGGGCUUAACCUCGGGCGUGCAGGCGAUACGGGCAAUACUUGAGUGCUGUAGGGGAGACUGGAAUUCCUGGUGUAGCGGUGAAAUGCGCAGAUAUCAGGAGGAACACCGAUGGCGAAGGCAGGUCUCUGGGCAGUAACUGACGCUGAGGAGCGAAAGCAUGGGUAGCGA
rnacentral:rRNA from 1 species